AUGAGCCAAGUUUAGAAGCUUCUUUAAAGAGCUUCAUAGCAAGAUUAAACUGAAGAGUUUGAUCAUGGCUCAGAUUGAACGCUGGCGGCAGGCUUAACACAUGCAAGUCGAGCGGAAACGAUGGUAGCUUGCUACCAGGCGUCGAGCGGCGGACGGGUGAGUAACACUUAGGAAUCUACCUAGUAGUGGGGGAUAGCUCGGGGAAACUCGAAUUAAUACCGCAUACGWCCUACGGGAGAAAGGGGGCAGUUUACUGCUCUCGCUAUUAGAUGAGCCUAAGUCGGAUUAGCUAGAUGGUGGGGUAAAGGCCUACCAUGGCGACGAUCUGUAGCUGGUCUGAGAGGAUGAUCAGCCACACCGGGACUGAGACACGGCCCGGACUCCUACGGGAGGCAGCAGUGGGGAAUAUUGGACAAUGGGGGCAACCCUGAUCCAGCCAUGCCGCGUGUGUGAAGAAGGCCUUUUGGUUGUAAAGCACUUUAAGCAGUGAAGAAGACCAUAUGGUU
rnacentral:rRNA from 1 species